rnacentral:rRNA from 1 species
UACGGAGGGGGCAAGCGUUAUUCGGAAUUAUUGGGCGUAAAGAGCGCGUAGGCGGCUAGAUGUGUCAAAGGUGAAAUCCCUCGGCUCAACUGCGGAACUGCCUUUGAAACUGUCUGGCUUGAGGCCGGGAGAGGGUAGCGGAAUUCCCAGUGUAGCGGUGAAAUGCGUAGAUAUUGGGAGGAACACCAGUGGCGAAGGCGGCUACCUGGACCGGUUCUGACGCUGAGACGCGAAAGCGUGGGUAGCAAACAGG